AACUUAUUUUUAACCAGGUUUUCCGAAGGAAAAAACUGGUUAUUAGAUUGGCGAAUGCGGGCGGGCUGGCUGGCGGGCUGGCUGGCUGGCGGGCUGGCGGAAUAAGCUUGUCCGGGCCAUAACUAUGUCGUUCAUUGUCAGAUUUUAAAAUCAUUUGGCACAUUUGUUCACCAUCAUUGGACGGUGUGUCGCGCGAAAUAAUUACGUCGAUAUCUCCAAGGUCAAGGUCACACUUUGAGUUCAAAGGUCAAAAAUGGCCAUAAAUGAGCUUGUCCUGGCCAUAACUAUGUCAUUCAUUGUGAGAUUUUAAAAUCAUUUGGCACAUUUGUUCACCAUCAUGGGACGGUGUGUCCCACGAAAGAAUCACGUCAAUAUCUCCAAUGUCAAGGUCGCCACGACUAAAAAUAGAUUUAAAAAAAAAAAAAAAAAUUACAAAGGGGGUUAAUUUUUUUUGGUCAUUUCAAAAGUUAA